GACGAACGCUGGCGGCGUGCUUAACACAUGCAAGUCGAACGAAGUGGCGCACGGGUGAGUAACGCGUAAUCAACCUGCCCUUCAGCGGGGGACAACAGUUGGAAACGACUGCUAAUACCGCAUACUGAAGUAGGUGAUUGCGUCGGAUGAGCUAGUUGGAGGGGUAACGGCCCACCCAGGCGCUGAUCAGUAGCCGGUCUGGGAGGAGGAACGGCCACAUUGGGACUGAGACACGGCCCAGACUCCUACGGGAGGCAGCAGUGGGGAAUCGUCCGCAAUGGACGAAAGUCUGACGGAGCAACGCCGCGGGAGUGAUGACGGCCUUCGGGUUGUAAAGCUCUGUUAAUCGGGACGCGGUACCGGAAUAGAAAGCCACGGCUAACUACGUGCCAGCAGCCGCGGUAAUAC
rnacentral:rRNA from 1 species